rnacentral:lncRNA from 1 species
CAGUAGCGAAAUUCAAAAAUUUUUCACAUCUAAACAAGGCCUUACUCUAAUAUUUUUGUGCUCUACAGGAUAUGUCAAAAAUAUGCCUUAGAAAGAUAAUUAUACGUGCACCAUACAAAUCGGUGCAAGAAGGACCUGAAUAGUCAUUGUUAUAAAAAAAAUUAAAUGCUGAAAUAAAGUAUAUCACUGUCUAGAGUUUAUCGAGAUAAUUAAAAUACAUAUAUUACUUAUCUAAUUUAAAGCUCGUAUGAAGAAGUUCUUAAAUUCUGAAAUUAAAAAUGCAUUGCUGACACCAAAGCCAAGGUACACGUUGCAACGAAAAAAAAAGUAGGCACAUGUUUGCAUGCAAUGUCCAAGCGUCGUGAGUGGGCGUUGUCAAGCACAGCCCAACAGGACCCACUUGCGGCAGCACACUGACACUGCACAAACGGUCAGGCGCAGAUUCACUAGGCCCUGUUUAGUUCCCACCUAAAAUUUUUUGUCCAUCCUAUCGAAUCUUUAGACACAUGCAUGG